rnacentral:Y_RNA from 1 species
GGCUGGUCCAAAGGUAAUGAGAUAUCUCAAUUGAGUGUUCACAGUCAGUUACAGACCGAGCAUUCUACUCUCUACCCCGUUCUCACGACCGCCCUUGACUAGUCUUAA